rnacentral:rRNA from 2 species
UGACACAGCGACACCGCGUGGGGGAUGAAGGCUUCGGGUCGUAAACCCCUUUUCUCAGGGAAGAAAAAUGACGGUACCUGGGGAAUAAGUCUCGGCUAACUACGUGCCAGCAGCCGCGGUAAUACGUAGGAGGCGAGCGUUAUCCGGAUUUACUGGGCGUAAAGAGGACGUAGGCGGUUCUUCAAGUCGGAUGUAAAAUCUCCCGGCUCAACUGGGAGGGACCAUUCGAUACUGUUGGGCUAGAGGGCAGCAGAGGGAGAUGGAAUUCCCGGUGUAGUGGUGAAAUGCGUAGAUAUCGGGAGGAACACCAGUGGCGAAGGCGGUCUCCUAGGCUGUUUCUGACGCUGAGGUCCGAAGGUGUGGGGAGCGAACAGGCUUAGAUACCCUGGUAGUCCACACCGUAAACGAUGGACAUUAGGUAUGGGGGGUAUCGACCCCCUCUGUGCCGAAGCUAACGCGCUAAAUGUCCCGCCUGG